GUCAAAUGCAAUGUAUGUAUGUUCAUUUUCUUCUUUGCCAAUUAUUAUUUUUUCUUUUUCAUUUUUCAUUUCAUUUAUUUGAUUUUCAUUAUUUUUGCUUGGAAAUGCUUGGAAAGAUAGACACGCGGGGUAAUCAAUAACUUGCAAACCUUUAUUGAUCAUGACAGAAUCGUCUUCAAAGAUUACAUCAAAUUUGAAAUCUGGAUUUUCAAAAUCCGAC
rnacentral:lncRNA from 1 species